CAAAGCCCGGUUUCUCAACCUGUAGAGGCCACAGUGGAAUCUCAGGGGCAGGCAGUGACAGUAAACCCCAGCAAGACCCAGCCUGCUCGGAAUUAACGGACCAGAGCACAAGAAUCCAUGUCCCAGGGCUCCUCCCUAGACAAGAACCUGCCCCCCAGAGCUGUGAGACCCAUCCUCAGUCCCGGGCGCUGGAAUCCAGCCAAAUCGCCGUGUUCCGGAAACCACUGUCCCCUCCCUCCCGGAACCCUAAGGCUUCAGUUCGGGACCCCACGUCGGAGAGGAGGGGAGAGCCUGAGUAGGGAGGAGGCGGAGAAAGGAGGGAAUAAACAUGCGAAAACACGCAGUGGGCGGGCGCGGAGCACGGAAAGCGGAACAACUGUCCAGACACACCUUGAAGCCCCAGCAAGUAACCAUGGAGGUCAAGUCCUGGUACUUUGUGUUUAACCAUCAAGCAUUUAUUUAUUAAUGCCUAUGGUAGACCAGCCACUGUUUUGGAUGUUAGAGAUGUGGAGUGUAAUAAAGGCUUGAUAAACAUUAGCUCUAAUUAUUAUUGUCACUUAUA